AUCUUUCUAGUAUUAAAUUGUACAAGUGACUUCCAAUCAUUUAGUCUUGGUUAAAUCCCAGGGAGAGAUA
rnacentral:tRNA from 1 species